ensembl:snRNA U6 U6 spliceosomal RNA
UUGCUCGCUUUGGCAGCACAUAUACUAAAAUUGGAACGAUACAGAGAUUAGCAUGGUCCCUGCGCAAAGGUGACACGCAAAUUCGUGAAGCGUUCCAUUUUUUU